UGGUGGAGCAUGUGGUUUAAUUCGAUGCAACGCGAAGAACCUUACCUACUCUUGACAUCCACAGAAUUCGNCAGAGAUACCUUAGUGCCUUCGGGAACUGUGAGACAGGUGCUGCAUGGCUGUCGUCAGCUCGUGUUGUGAAAUGUUGGGUUAAGUCCCGCAACGAGCGCAACCCUUAUCCUUUGUUGCCAGCGCGUNANGGNGGGAACUCAAAGGAGACUGCCGGUGAUAAACCGGAGGAAGGUGGGGAUGACGUCAAGUCAUCAUGGCCCUUACGAGUAGGGCUACACACGUGCUACAAUGGCGUAUACAAAGAGAAGCGAACUCGCGAGAGCCAGCGGACCUCAUAAAGUACGUCGUAGUCCGGAUCGGAGUCUGCAACUCGACUCCGNGAAGU
rnacentral:rRNA from 1 species